rnacentral:SRP_RNA from 1 species
CCGUGCUAGGCGGGGAGGUAGCGGUGUCCUGUACUCGCAAUCCGCUCUAGCGAGGCUGAAUCCCCGGUCGAGGGGCUUCCGCCUCUGGGGCCAGUGUGUCGGUCGUGGGUGUUGACGGUCAGGUCCCACGCGGUGGACGUUCGCGAACCAGGUCAGAUCCGGGAGGAAGCAGCCUUAAGCGGAGCCGUCCAUGCGCCGUGGGUAAGCCUGGCCAGAGUCUGAGACCGGCGGCACGCUCAGAGGUCGGCUUCGACGCCGGGUGCACGG